CCUGGUGGCUCAGACGGUAAAGCGUCUGCCUACAAUGCAGGAGAUCCAGGUUCAAUCCCUGGGUCAGGA
rnacentral:tRNA from 1 species